rnacentral:rRNA from 1 species
CCUACGGGUGGCAGCAGUGAGGAAUAUUGCGCAAUGGGGGCAACCCUGAUGCAGCGAUGCCGCGUGAGUGAAGAAGUUCUUCGGAUUGUAAAGCUCUAUCGGCAGUGAAGAUGAUGACGGUAGCGUCUAAAGAAGCCCCGGCUAACUUCGUGCCAGCAGCCGCGGUAAUACGAAGGGUGCGAGCGUUGUACGGAAUUACUGGGCGUAAAGGGAGCGUAGGCGGAAAUGCAAGAUAGCGGUGAAAGGCCGGGGCUCAACCCCGGAACUGCCAUUAUGACUAUGUAUCUAGAGUAAUGGAGAGGAAAGCGGAAUACCCAGUGUAGAGGUGAAAUGCGUAGAUAUUGGGAGGAACACCGGUGGCGAAGGCGGCUAGCUGGCC